rnacentral:rRNA from 1 species
CUGUUUACCAAAAACAUAGGUUUCUGCUAAGUCGCAAGACGAUGUAUAGGAGCUGACGCCUGCCCGGUGCUGGAAGGUUAAGGGGAUCUGUUAGAGCAAUCGAAGCAGUGAACUUAAGCCCCAGUAACCGGCGGCCGUAACUAUAACGGUCCUAAGGUAGCGAAAUUCCUUGUCGGGUAAGUUCCGACCCGCACGAAAGGCGUAACGAUUUGGGCACUGUCUCAACAACAGACUCGGUGAAAUUGUAAUUCCGGUGAAGAUGCCGGAUACCUGCGACAGGACGGAAAGACCCCAUGGAGCUUUACUGUAGCUUGACAUUGGGUCUUGGUACUACAUGUACAGGAUAGGUGGGAGGCUUUGAAACCAGGACGCCAGUUUUGGCGGAGCCAUCCUUGGGAUACCACCCUUGUAGUACUGG